CAGUAGCCGCGGGAAUACGUAGGUGGCAAGCGUUGUCCGGAAUUAUUGGGCGUAAGGCGCGCGCAGGUGGUUUAAUAAGUCUGAUGUGAAAGCCCACAGCUCAACCGUGGAGGGUCAUUGGAAACUGUUAAACUUGAGUGCAGGAGAGAAAAGUGGAAUUCCUAGUGUAGCGGUGAAAUGCGUAGAGAUUAGGAGGAACACCAGUGGCGAAGGCGGCUUUUUGGCCUGUAACUGACACUGAGGCGCGAAAGCGUGGGGCGCAAACAGGAUUAGAUACCCCGGUAGUCCCUGUCUCUUAUAC
rnacentral:rRNA from 1 species